rnacentral:rRNA from 1 species
UACGUAGGGUGCGAGCGUUGUCCGGAAUUACUGGGCGUAAAGAGCUCGUAGGUGGUUUGUCGCGUUGUCCGUGAAAUUCCCUGGCUUAACUGGGGAACUGCGUGUGAGACUGGCAGGCUCGAGGGCAGGAGAGGAACGCGGAAUUCCAGGUGUAGCGGUGAAAUGCGUAGAUAUCUGGAGGAACACCGGUGGCGAAGGCGGCGUUCUGGACUGUCUCUGACACUGAAGAACGAAAGCCAGGGGAGCAAACGGG